GCUUGCUUUGGCAACACGAAUACUAAAAUUGGAAUGAUGCAGAGAAGAUUAGCAUGGCUCCUGCACAAGGAUGACACCCAAAUUCAUGAAGCAUUCCUUUUCUUU